GAUGAAGAACGUAGCGAAAUGCGAUACUUGGUGUGAAUUGCAGAAUCCCGUGAACCAUCGAGUCUUUGAACGCAAGUUGCGCCCGAAGCCAUUAGGCCGAGGGCACGCCUGCCUGGGUGUCACACGUCGUUGCCCCCCCAUCUACUCCUUCGGGAUUGCGGGGGGCGGAUGAUGGCCUCCCGUGCGCCUCGUCGCGCGGUUGGCAUAAAUGCCAAUUCCUCGGCGACGCACGCCACGACAAUCGGUGGUUGCGAAACCUCGGUUGCCCGUCGUGUGCGGUCGUCGCGCAUCGAGGGCUCGAAAAAAUUGCCGGGCUCCGGCUCGGCUUUCAACGCGACCCCAGGUCAGGCGGGGUUACCCGCUGAAUUUAAGCAUAUCAAUAAGCGGAGGA
rnacentral:misc_RNA from 1 species